rnacentral:rRNA from 1 species
GUGCACCAGGCGAGAAACUUUACAAUGUGCGAAAGCACGAUAAGGGAACUCUGAGUGCCUCCUAAGGAGGCUGUUCAGGUGUCUAAAAGCACCUGGAGUAAGGGCUGGGUAAGACCGGUGCCGGCCGCCGCGGUAACACCGGCAGCCCCAGGUGGUAGCCACGUUUUAUUGGGUCUAAAGCGUCCGUAGCCGGUUGAGUAAGUUCCUUGGGAAAUUUGGCUGCUCAACAGUCAAGCUUCCAGGGAAUACUGACUCGACUUGGGACUGGGAGAGGUCAGAGGUACUCCAGGGGUAGGGGUGAAAUCCAUUAAUCCCUGGGGGACCACCGGUAGCGAAGGCGUCUGACCAGACCAGGUCCGACGGUGAGGGACGAAGGCUA